CUUCUCUGAUGUUAGCGGCGGACGGGUGAGUAACACGUGGGUAACCUACCUAUAAGACUGGGAUAACUCCGGGAAACCGGGGCUAAUACCGGAUAAUAUUUUGAACCGCAUGGUUCGAUAGUGAAAGACGGUUUCGGCUGUCACUUAUAGAUGGACCCGCGCCGUAUUAGCUAGUUGGUAAGGUAACGGCUUACCAAGGCGACGAUACGUAGCCGACCUGAGAGGGUGAUCGGCCACACUGGAACUGAGACAAGGUCCAGACUCCUACGGGAGGAAGCAGCG
rnacentral:rRNA from 1 species